AUGAACGCUAGCGGCAGGCUUAAUACAUGCAAGUCGUGGGGCAGCAUGAGUAGCAAUACUUGAUGGCGACCGGCAAACGGGUGAGGAACACGUACACAACCUUCCUUCAAGCGGGGAAUAGCCCAGAGAAAUUUGGAUUAAUACCCCAUAAUAUAUUUGAUAAGGCAUCUUAUUAAUAUUAAAGCUUCGGCACUUGAUGAUGGGUGUGCGGCUGAUUAGAUAGUUGGCGGGGUAACGGCCCACCAAGUCUACGAUCAGUAGCUGAUGUGAGAGCAUGAUCAGCCACACGGGCACUGAGACACGGGCCCGACUCCUACGGGAGGCAGCAGUAAGGAAUAUUGGACAAUGGACGAAAGUCUGAUCCAGCCAUGCCGCGUGAAGGAUUAAGGUCCUCUGGAUUGUAAACUUCUUUUAUAUGGGACGAAAAAAGGGCAUUCUUGUUCACUUGACGGUACCAUAUGAAUAAGCACCGGCUAACUCCGUG
rnacentral:rRNA from 1 species